AGUGAACGCUGGCGGUAGGCCUAACACAUGCAAGUCGAACGGCAGCACAGUAAGAGCUUGCUCUUAUGGGUGGCGAGUGGCGGACGGGUGAGGAAUACAUCGGAAUCUACUUUUUCGUGGGGGAUAACGUAGGGAAACUUACGCUAAUACCGCAUACGACCUACGUGUGAAAGCAGGGGAUCUUCGGACCUUGCGCGAUUGAAUGAGCCGAUGUCGGAUUAGCUAGUUGGCGGGGUAAAGGCCCACCAAGGCGACGAUCCGUAGCUGGUCUGAGAGGAUGAUCAGACACACUGGAACUGAGACACGGUCCAGACUCCUACGGGAGGCAGCAGUGGGGAAUAUUGGACAAUGGGCGCAAGCCUGAUCCAGCCAUACCGCGUGGGUGAAGAAGGCCUUCGGGUUGUAAAGCCCUUUUGUUGGGAAAGAAAAGCAGCAGGUUAAUACCCCGCUGUUCUGACGGUACCCAAAGAAUAAGCACCGGCUAACUUCGUG
rnacentral:rRNA from 1 species